UACUUUCAUACCUGGGUGAAAUUCUUUCCUGAGAAUUGCUUUCUCCUGAGAGAGCUAAGGUUCGUUCUUUGUAGAUCUUAGCAUUCUCAUAUGAUUCAUUUCUAAGCUCUUCUAACUUGUUAAGUUGGAGCUUCCUCAAUGUACCAGCUUCUUUGAGAUCAAAAUUGAACUUUUUAUGGCCCAAUAUACACAGUGCUCGAGCUCCAUCGGAAAAUAACAUACUUUUCCAAAUACAAGUCAAUAAAGGCUCAUUCUAAUUGGGCCUUGUAAGCUGUUCAAUAAGCCAAAAGUGCAUCAUUCAACCUUAGCAGCCAAUCCUUCCUUGUAGGGUUGACAAUCUUCAUCAAGAUGUUCGUUAUUUCUCUAUUGUUGAUUUCCACUUGGCUAGAGGUUUGAGGAUGAGUCUUCGGUGAUGGUGGAAGUGUAUAAAAUGGUUGGAGUUUUGAGUGUGGAUGAAAAGAGAGAAAAAUAGUGGCUAGAAUUGUGAAAUUCGCUCAGAAUGAAAGGUGUGUGUAAAAGUGGCUGAAAGGCUAGGUUUUAUGAUGUUAAAGAGACUCUUACAGAUUGCCAAUACAUCCCAGUUGUUGAUGCACAAAAUUAGUGAGGACUUUGGUACAACAGAAAGUGUUAAGUUUGUGACCUUCGCUAGACCUUCACUAGAUUGCUUCGGUCACUAGUGUGGAUAAGUAUGUAAAUGGAUAGAGACAGGGAAGCAAACACAAGAUGUACAUGGUUCACCCAGAUUGGCUACGUCCACAGAGUAGAGGAGUUCUCAUUAAUUGUGAAGGGUUUACACAACUACAUAGGUUCAAGCUCUCUUUUUGUGACUACUAGUGAAUGAUUUAGUACAAAUGACAUUAGGAAAUAUUGUGAGAGAAUGAUCUCUAUUUAUAGAAGAGAGUUUCUAUUUUCAUUCUGACAUUGACACGUGUCGUGUUGUGAUUGGCUUCUGAUGUUGACACGUGUCACGCUAUGAUUGGCUUUUGAUGUCGACACGUGUCAUACUAUGAUUGGCCUCCUGGUUGGAGGGAAACUCUUCUGGGUCCUUGACGGUAUAACGUUGACCGGUGCUCAGUAGUUUCGGGAUUGGUCAAGUAUGGUACAAACAGUGCUCCCUAAGUUCUCGAGUGAGGGAAGCUCCUCGGUUGGGGACUUGCAAGAUCCAAGCCAUUGAGUAAUCACGAAACUUCUAAGUACCGAAGUGUGGUAUCAUUUUCACUUGCCUUAUCUGUCUCAUAUGUAGAUGUGGCAUCUUCUCUGGAAGUACUUUUCCUCCAUCCAGGGGUGGUAUCUUUAACCGAUGAAGAUG
rnacentral:lncRNA from 1 species